rnacentral:rRNA from 1 species
UACGUAGGGUGCGAGCGUUAAUCGGAAUUACUGGGCGUAAAGCGUGCGCAGGCGGUUUUGUAAGCCAGGUGUGAAAUCCCCGGGCUCAACCUGGGAAUGGCAUUUGGGACUGCAAGGCUGGAGUGCGGCAGAGGAGACUGGAAUUCCUGGUGUAGCAGUCAAAUGCGUAGAUAUCAGGAGGAGUACCGAUGGGGAAGGCAGGUCUCUGGGCUGACACUGACGCUCAUGCACGAAAGCGUGGGGAGCAAACAGG